GUUUUUAUAGUGUAAUAAUAUAACAUUUUACUUUUUCAUGGUAAAGCUGAAAUAUAAUUUCUAAAAAUA
rnacentral:tRNA from 3 species